rnacentral:rRNA from 1 species
CUACGUGCCAGCAGCCGCGGUAAUACGUAGGUCCCGAGCGUUGUCCGGAUUUAUUGGGCGUAAAGCGAGCGCAGGCGGUUAGAUAAGUCUGAAGUUAAAGGCUGUGGCUUAACCAUAGUACGCUUUGGAAACUGUUUAACUUGAGUGCAGAAGGGGAGAGUGGAAUUCCAUGUGUAGCGGUGAAAUGCGUAGAUAUAUGGAGGAACACCGGUGGCGAAAGCGGCUCUCUGGUCUGUAACUGACGCUGAGGCUCGAAAGCGUGGGGAGCGAACAGGAUUAGAUACCCUGGUAGUCCACGCCGUAAACGAUGAGUGCUAGGUGUUAGGCCCUUUCCGGGGCUUAGUGCCGCAGCUAACGCAUUAAGCACUCCGCCUGGGGAGUACGACCGCAAGGUUGAAACUCAAAGGAAUUGACGGGGGCCCGCACAAGCGGUGGAGCAUGUGGUUUAAUUCGAAGCAACGCGAAGAACCUUACCAGGUCUUGACAUCCCGAUGCCCGCUCUAGAGAUAGAGUUUUAUU